UUGCGCGAAUACAUUGACUUCUGGCACAGAUCCAGUGUGGUCACUUCCACCAACCUGGAGGAUAAGUUCAUUUGGAAAUGGUCAGCGGAUGGAAGAUAUAAUGCUAAGUCAGCUUACCUAUGUCAAUUCUGGGGCAAGAUUGAUUCUCCUCUUCCUGAGAUCAUUUGGCAUAUCAAAAUUCCACCAAGAAUAAGAUUCUUCAGUUGGCUCUUUGUACAGGGCAAAUGUUUGACUGCGGACAACCUUGCGAAACGAGGUUGGCCUCACAACCCGAUCUGUCAAUUAUGCCACUUAGGGUGGGAGGAUGGUCUGCACCUUGUAUCUAGCUGCCCCUUCACGGCUGGAAUCUGGGGCUAUUGCCUGGCGAUAUAUAAUUUUCCAUUCAACCUCUUAUCUAUUGCUCAUACUGGCUCUAUAUUGGACUGGUGGUUAAAGGCUCUGGAUCGUACAGGCAGGAAAAAUGACCUAUCAUCACUUAUAAUGACGGUGUCCUGGCAGGUUUGGAAAGAAAGAAACAGCCGCAUAUUCAACAACAAGGCAAACCACUUCCUGAAGGUCGCUGAGAACAUUAUCAAUGAGCUGAAUUCUUGGAGAAUCGCUGGAUUCAAAGGAGCACAAUGGACAGGCGCAAGAUAA
rnacentral:rRNA from 1 species